GGUUGUUAGGAGGCUUUUUCAGCUAAGCUGAACCUUCUGUGAUUCUAGAGGUUUUUUUACUUUUCAGGUAGAAACUGUCAAGUAGAUGAAUUCAAAGCAAGACAAAUAGGAUGAGGAAGGAACUUGAGAGCAUGGCAUAGUAGAAUUGGUCGAAGAAUUUAAUGAUGAUUAAUCUUCAAAAAAGAUCAGGGGGACGAGAAGAGGGAUUGAUAACUCUUUAAGUAUCUGAAAGGCAGUUAGGUCAAAGAAGAAUUAGACUUGAUCUUGUGGCAAUAGCAGAAGUGGAAACAAUGGGUAGGAAUUUUAAGAGAUAAAUUUAGACCUGAUUGAAGAGGAGGAAAAUGUCCUUAGAUAGUAAUAAUACAAAAAUGGAAUAGGCUGCCCUCAGGAGGUGAUGACUUGCAUUCUUUGUUGAGAUGGUUGUAGAGGAUAUCAUUGUUCUGGUGUGGGCUGCAUUUCAGGGAAUUUUAUGUCUUUCACCUUUGAGAUUCUGUGACCUUUUAAGUAUAAAUCAGAUUCACUUUUUUUUUUUUUAAGUGAACAUUCAAGUUUAUUUUUUUUCUUUUAAAUUUUUUAUUUAAUAAUUACUUUAUAUUGACACUUUUCUGUUCCGAUUUUUUUUUCCCCUCCCUCCCUCCACCCCCUCCCCUAGAUGGCAAGCAGUCCUUUAUAUGUUGGAUAUGUUGCAGUAUAUCCUAGAUACAAUAUAUGUUUGCAGAACCGAACAGUUCUCUUGUUGCAUAGGGAGAAUUGGAUUCAGAAGGUAUAAAUAACCGGGAAGAAAAACAAAAAUGCAGAUAGUUCACAUUCGUUUCCCAAUGUUCUUUCUUUGGGUGUAGCUGCUUUUGUCCGUCAUUUAUCAAUUGAAACUCAGGUCUCUUUGUCAAAGAAAUCCACUUCCAUCAAAAUAUGUCCUCAUACAAUAUCGUUGUCGAAGUGUAUAAUGAUCUCCUGGUUCUGCUCAUUUCACUUAGCAUCAGUUCAUGUAAGUCUCGCCAGUCCUCUCUGUAUUCAUCCUGCUGGUCAUUUCUUACAGAACAAUAAUAUUCCAUAACAUUCAUAUACCACAAUUUACCCAGCCAUUCUCCAAUUGAUGGGCAUCCAUUCAUUCUCCAGUUUCUGGCCACUACAAACAGGGCUGCUACAAACAUUUUGGCACAUACAGGUCCCUUUCCCUUCUUUAGUAUUUCUUUGGGAUAUAAGCCCAAUAGAAACACUGCUGGAUCAAAGGGUAUGCACAAUUUGAUAAUUUUUUGGGCAUAAUUCCAGAUUGCUCUCCAGAAUGGUUGGAUUCGUUCACAACUCCACCAACAAUGCAUUAGUGUCCCAGUUUUCCCGCAUCCCCUCCAACAUUCAUCAUUAUUUUUUCCUGUCAUCUUAGCCAAUCUGACAGGUGUGUAGUGGUAUCUCAGAGUUGUCUUAAUUUGCAUUUCUAAUCAGAUUCACUUUUAAAACUACAUUACAUUUACACAUUUUAUAAAUCCUGUGUCUUGGUUCUAUGCAAACAAUGAUCUAUUAUUGUGAGCAAUGGAUCCCAUAGUGCUUUUGAAGGACUGAGGAAGAAAGCAUGAUGGCAGGAUACAGCUUCUGUUCUAUUUGCCUUGAAAUGAUAAUUUGUUUUUGAAGCAUUUGAUGUGUAUAUAUUGUUUGUCUUUUGUUCUCAAAGAAGACCAUGAUAUGCAAGUGAAUUGGAUUUAAGUGAGGGAGGGUUGGGCAAGGUCACCUUCCUCACUUUCUUUUCCAGAGUCAUCUGGGUCUAGUGGCCAGAUAUAGGUCAGGAAGACUGGGGAUGGCUCUGGAUGCUGUGGGAGACUUGGGCCUUUUUAAACUAUGGUCUUCAAUGAAUCUCAGUUUGACUGAGGCAAUUCCCAUUCAGUGUUUAAGGCUAGGUAGCAAUACACACACACACACACACACACAUACAAAUAUAUAUAUAUAUAUUUGCUAAAUAGGAUUUUCUUUCUGUACUCUGUAAUCAGAAUUGGGGCUAGGGAAAUAAUUCUGUCAAUAUCUUUUAUGUUACUUUUCUAUAUUAACUAAGACAGGAAAAUAGUUGUUGCACAUGAAGCUAUAGAGAUAGACUACUCACCAGAAAUAGAAAAGAGUGGCAGGGAAUUUAGGGGAAAAUGGGAUUGGGCUGAAGACUGACUCCCCAGAGAUGUUUAGUUUGCAAGAGAAAUACAUGAUUUCAGGUACAUGGUUUUGAUUUGUUGUAGAGGGCUGAAACUAUUGAGUCGAUGCACUGAGGUAAGGUCUGCCGAGCACUUGAGGCUAACUACUGAUUGGACAAUACUCUAUGGGCAUAUGCUUGGAAAAUAGUCCUUCCCACUAUCCUGUGCUGGCUCAAUGAUUGGUGUGUAUACAGAGGAUUGUAGGAGGGACUAGGGGGUGGAGUAAGACUAGCCAGAGUCACUCUUUGCGGGUGGAUAAGGGAGAAGAUGUUCCAGAGAUUUUGCUUCUAUCCUGUUCAAUCCUGGGUCUAAAGACCAAGAAUAAAGACUAAGGACUUUUGCUUAUCCUGACUCCAGGGGAUUCUGGAGUGUCCUAGGUGUUAGCAGUUGUCACAAUUUGUUGUCUUAGAAAAAGUAAACAGUGUUUCUUAUUCUAUUCAGAAUGAUUGCUCUUCUUUUUGAAGAGCCAUACCUUAAGGUAGGAGUUAACCUGUCAUCCAUGAACUUUUUUUUUUUAAAUUUUGGUGACUAUUUAAAUAGAAUUUAAUUUCUUCUGUAAUCCAGUUUAAAAUUUUUUGUGCAUUUUAGAAUAUUACCCUGAGUCAGCCUUUAGGCUUCACUAGACUGCCACAGAGUCUGUGUCACUGUCUCAGGGGAAGAAAUAAAUUCUUUUUUUUUUUUUUUUUUGGAGAAAUUGAGAUAUUGGUCAGAACAUCUUAAUAAACCCAUAUUUGAGACAUUUGUUUCUUUGACCGUACAGAGAGUUCUUGACUAAAGAAGUUCUUUGGGGGGUGGUGAUUCUUGAUUCUCAACCUUUAAAUCAUUGACUGCUAGGAUUUUGAACAUUGUCUUGAUUAAUAUUCAUAAGUGGGUCACAGAACUAAAUUUGAAGCAACUUCUCUUUUUCUUUACAAAGUACUUUUCUUUCUUUACUUAGCUCUCUUCUCUUUUUCUUUUUUAGCUGUUGCAUUUGAAAAUACAGAGAAAAUGUCUAGGUUUUGAGAUUUCUUAGUUUUCAUAUACUUCUCUUCUAUUCAAGACUUCUACCUGCUUCUUAGAACUAUUGAUUUUAGCACUAUGGACAAGCUGUUUUGGCAACACAUAAAUUGAAGCAUUUUUACAGUCCUAUCAUAUUUAUGUACCCCACUGCCUUCAGGGAACUAAUUUGUCCUCAAAGCACAGCAGUUAUUCUACCACCUGGUUAAUUCCCAUGAUUAUAAUCUUUAGAGUAUACAAAAUUGAAUUAUAGCACACAAUUUAAUUAGACUGGACUAGCCUAUUUUAGCCAAAAUUAAUUAGCAGUUUCAUUCCCUGGGAUAAAAGGGUUAUUUCUAGGCUCUCACACUCAACCUAAACCUACUGCUUCUUAUUGUAAUAGGCCAGCUUUGUACCUUUUAUUCUCCUACCCUGUCUAAUGGAGUUUACAUCCUGUGACAGCUUUGUCUGCUAGGACACUUUUAGGAGUAGUUAUCAGUCCAUUAAUAACUACUCUUCAUUCUGAUGUUAGCAUGUGGGAAAAGUUAAUCAGUUGUUUACCCUUAUUAACUUGUAAGUAACCUAAAACUAACUUUGCCUUAGGUCAAUUUCUGCCUUUAAAAAAGUUAAUUUAAUUGAGAGUAACAUUUGAAAUCUAUUUCAAUAAAUCACAAGUACCUGCCCUCUCUCUCUGUACUUUGACAUUCCCAGUUUACAAAUCCUGUAAUAUUAGAUCGUAAUUGCUUUCUUAUUGAUGAUGGAGGGGAAAAGAAUUGAACUGGCUUGGGGGAAACUAAAUAUCAGAUCAGAUUCUUUGUUAUAAAGAAUGGCUUUCUGGAGGCAAUGUGAAUUCUCCCCCCCUCCUCCCCCCCCCCCCCAAAAA